GCCAGCGUUCAGGCGCAAACACCACCCCCGCACGAUACCAAAACCCACGCACACGAGCGUGUAAGGAAAGGAAAACAUAAGGACCCACUUGCAGAGAUUUCUUCUCUCCCACAACCUGGAGGGGAAAUACAUGUAUAUGGUUGAAAACUGAAAAAGCACCAAAAGUUACACAGUGACAAGUGCAGCCCGUGGCUUUUUAUUCUGCCCCAGUGGAGACAGAGCAUCCUCUUUGAGGUUCUUGGGAUGCAUCAAUGAACGAAACAGAGACAGACCCCUGCCCAUGUGGGGUUUACGCUUUAGCAGGGAGAGAUAGACAAUAAACAAUACAUUUAUUAAAUAAGUAAAUUAUAUUUUAUAUUAGAAGGUGAUAAGGGUUACAAAAAAAAAGUAGAUCGGGGAAAAGGGAUCAGGAUGGAGGGGAAGUCUAUAAUUUUAAAUAUGGUAUCAAGGAGGUCUCAUUGAGAAUAUAGUAUUUGAACCAAGACUUAGAGACGAGCGGGCAAGUAAGCCCCACAGACUUCUUGGGGAAGAGUAUUCUAAGCAGAGGGAACAGCUGGUGCAAAGGCCCUGGGGCAGGCACUUACCUGGCAAGUUUGUGGAACCUGGAGGCCAGCGUGACUGGUGUGGAGUGAGCAAGGAGAUGUGUAUGGGACGGCGUGACAUCAGAGAGGUAACAAGGGGCCAGAUAAUCUAGGGCCAUGUAGGCUGUCUUAAGGACUUCUACCUUUACUCUGAGUGAAAUAGGGAGGAAAGACAUGAAUGGACUUAAGUUUUUAGAUGGUCCUUCUGUCUUUUGUGUUGCGAUAGAUUGCAGGGGGCAAGAGAAGACACAAGGAGACUUGUUGAAAUGUUAUUGCACUAAUCCAAGUGAGAGGUGAGCGGCUUGGACCAGGGUGGCAGCAGUGGACGUGGGGCGAAGGGCCCGGAUUUUGGAUUUGGUGACAGUUUUCUCUUCCUUGGCUCCCAUCCCUUUGCUCUCUUCACUCUCUUCUCUAGGUUGUGUGCUUUCUCUUUCUUGAACACUGAGAGCUCUGUGAGGGGGGCUCAAUUCCUGUCCCUGGGAUCUGCCCCAGCCUCCGGGGCAGGGCCCGAGCAAAGGGCACCAGGUCCCGGUGCUGCCACGGAGUGACUGACAGGCAGGGCGGCCCGGGUGGGCAGAGAAGGCUGCUGUCUCUACAGAGGACGUGAUGGACAGUUAUUGAAGGCGCUCCUCUGGGGGCUCCACUCCGGUCUUCAUCUGAGCCGCCCUCAAGGAAAUCGUAACCAGCUCUUAAAAACAUGUUAAGACCAAAGCCGUGUGUGUGUCUGAGCAGAGCUUCGACAGCUACUUAACACGGGGGCCUCUGGGCCUUUGAGUCCACUCCCUCUUGGCUGGCCCUCUCCCCCCGUCUGGCUGGUGUUUAUCGGCCAAGACGUUGUUUAAAUCACACUCGUUUCCUGUAAACAUUUCACUUGAAAUGCCAUCCGCUGCUUCAGAAAUGCAUCUGUCACAGCUCUGGGGCGUGCUUGAGGAGCCUCGUGGGAUGGCGCCCCGUCUCUCUCUCCUGUCCCACCGUCCCCCCUCCUCCCCGACCCAUCUUCUCAGGUUUCACGCCAUGAGAACUACUUCCCCUCAGUGUAACAGGGCACUUAGUGCCAGGAUUAUUUAUAACAGUUGAGAUGGCAACAGGCUAUGGGGAGCAGCCCAGCCCGUGCAC